UGUAUACGAUACUGAACCCUACCCCCCUCCCGUCUUCCUUUCUGUACCCCACCCCAACCCUUAGACCAAAUAACAACAAAAGUCAAUAGGAACGUAGAACUUGUAUAUGUAUACGCAAACAAUAUAUGCUGAAACCAAUGACAAAUGGCUUAUAAACCCACUCAGAUUGUCUGUCCGCCAACAUAAGUACAUGUAUGUUCUGAGAAAACUGUACCAUAAACUUUAACCCUCUGUUCUCU